rnacentral:lncRNA from 1 species
UCCUGUCCUGUACUGGUUUUCACUAAGCCAACUGUGAGAUUUCUUUGUUGCAAUAUUGGGGUCUGAGAUAACACUGCUGGAGGCUGGAGGCAAGAAACAUAGCCGAAACCAUCUUUUAGUGUGUGCUGUUAUUUACUAGCGCUGUGAACCAAGGAAGCGAAAAAACAAAGAGCCCGAAGACUGCACAGUUCCAGCUUGUAGGCCCUGGAGACAGUCUGGAGUCCUCAGACGGACAGAAAGAAGACAUCAGAAGGGCAACCUGUGGUGCCUGUGGCUGCUGAGUACAGGAUAUGAAUCAGAGAGAAAGAAGUAAAAUCUUGUCCUAGGAAGAAAGGGAGCGAUUGGCAGAAGACUUGUCUCUGGCGUGGGUGACUGAUUUUUAAGAAAUCGGCAACACGGAAGCUGAUUAUAAAAUAUUCAUAAGAAGCUGGCUUUUACAGGUAAUCGCUUUUUUCCUUCUACUUCUUCCCAAACCUUCCAUUUCUUCAAAUAGUACAAUUUUUAGGACAUUGAAAGCUUAUAUAUUUAAUGUUGCUAGUUUAUAUCUUUAUAACCCAUCAAUCUAGCUUUUGUGGUCUUUGAUUCUUUGGAGUUUGAGAGUUUUUAGAAUUAAUUUCAAAAGGAUGUUUGCUUCUUUUUAAAGUAAUUUAGGCAGAGUUCAUUUGAAACCACAAACACUGUCUUUGAACUCUGGAUGUAUAUGUAUGUAUAUGUAUAUUAUAUGCAUAUAUGUGUGUCUAUAUAUCUGAGAAUUCAGGGUUUAUAUGCAUUUCAGAAGGUUGUUAUUAAUAUUUUAGCUUCAGUUCUACUUGAUUACAACUUAGCACUUUCUGGAACUCUUCAAUAUCCAUUGCGUGGGUGGGGAUUGAGUUUGGCUCUCAUGAUCCAGGCAGCUUCCUUUGGGUGCCGCUGAAGCACUUUGUCCCACCUAGAAAGGUUUACAAGCAUCCAUGAUCUGGUGUCCAAAAAAAAGUACCUUUCCCUUUGUUUGUAAAUGACAGCCCCAUGUUUUCACAGUUGGUUGCUAUGUGGUAGUGUCCUGUGCAAUCUUGUUUCAUGUAAUGACCCAAAAUGUCCUUUGGAAAAAGAAUCCCAUUUCCUUCCCCAACACAAAGAAGUUUCUUGAAGAAAGCUUCCAAUGACUACUUCAGGGGAGGCAUCUAUUGGCAAACAAGCUUCCCUCUUCAAGUGUAAAUGUUAAUAUUUGAAUAUUUUCUUUGUAACUUCUGGUCAGGUGUUUUUUGUUUGUUUGUUUUGUUUGUUUGUUUGUUUUGAUUUCUGAAUGUAAAACUUGAGAUUGUUUGGAAGCUAAUUUUAGUACAUGUGAAUGCAUAGUCCCCUGUCCUGUAUUUAAGAAAAAGAAAGAUGGCCCCAUGGAAACACAAGGUUGAGUUCUUUUCUGUGGUCUCAGUGUAUCAUGGGAAUGUAUAGGUGCUGUGUGACAGUGCCAAUGUACCACUUGAUAGAUUUUAGUUCGUUGCUGACAAAUACUGUUUUACUAGCCAUAGUGUAGUUGAAUAUUCAUUUUCUAAGAUGGUUGAAAAAUGUUUCUUAUUUGCGAUUUAAAAAUUAUAAUGUUUUCAAAUACGUUGAGGUGGCUUGAGAAUGGGAUCCAAGUCUAAGCACAAAGCUGUCAAUGUCCAGGAACAUCGUGUACACAGUCUGGACGUAUGUCACCCAAGGUUCUCAGUGUAUCUAUCUUGUCCUUAUAACAUGCCACCUGGCUUCAGGGGUGGCAUCUUCUUCCUGUGCCAUCAGCUCAGUGCUCAAAAACUUCUGAGUUUUAGCUGGGCAGGGUGGUACACCUGUUUAAUCCCAGAGCUCAGGAGGCAGAGGCAGCUGGAUCUCUGAGUUUGAAGUGAGCCCGUUCUCCUUGGGAGUCUCCCAACGAGACUCUGUCUAGAAAGGGAGGUGGGGGAGAGGGCAAGAUUUUUUUUUUAAUUAUUUGCAUUAGGAUGACGUAUCCUGUAUUUAAAAAUUAGUUCUUAUCAAUUAGAGCUGGAGCCCAACCCCUUCAACUUUCAAUAGGAACAAUAAUUCCCAUAUCUCAGCAACUCUCCACAAUGUUCAUUGCCUAGUUUUAAAUACUCCUAUUGCCAUCCCUUUGUCAGAGAGACCAAAGGACAAUCAGAAGCUCAAGACUUGUGUAAAACACCUGUUUUUUAUAGAGGAAAUAAGUGUUUUAAAAUAAGUGAUGCCAGGCAGUGGUGGCGCACGCCUUUAAUCCCAGCACUUGGGAGGCAGAGGCAGGCAGAUUUCUGAGUUCGAGGCCAGCCUGGUCUACAAAGUGAGUUCCAGGACAGCCAGGGCUACACAAAGAAAUCCUGUCUUGAAAACAAACAAACAAACAAACAAA